CAGCCGCCGCGGUAAUACGAAGGGGGCUAGCGUUGUUCGGAAUUACUGGGCGUAAAGCGCACGUAGGCGGAUAUUUAGGUCAGGGGUGAAAUCCCAGAGCUCAACUCUGGAACUGCCAUUGAUACUGGGUAUCUUGAGUAUGGAAGAGGUGAGUGGAAUUCCGAGUGUAGAGGUGAAAUUCGCAGAUAUUCGGAGGAACACCAGUGGCGAAGGCGGCUCACUGGUCCAUUACUGACGCUGAGGUGCGAAAGCGUGGGGAGCAAACAGGAUUAGAUACCCCGGUAGUCCCUGUCUCUUAUCA
rnacentral:rRNA from 1 species